rnacentral:rRNA from 1 species
GACGUAGGGCGCGAGCGUUGUCCGGAUUUAUUGGGCGUAAAGAGCGUGUAGGCGGCCAGACAGGUCCGUUGUGAAAACUGGAGGCUUAACCUUCAGACGUCGAUGGAAACCGUGCGGCUAGAGUCCGGAAGAGGAGAAUGGAAUUCCUGGUGUAGCGGUGAAAUGCGCAGAUAUCAGGAAGAACACCCGUGGCGAAAGCGGCUCUCUGGAACGGUACUGACGCUGAGACGCGAAAGCGUGGGGAGCGAACAGG